AGAGUUUGAUCCUGGCUCAGAGUGAACGCUGGCGGCAGGCCUAACACAUGCAAGUCGAGCGGCAGCGGGUCCUUCGGGAUGCCGGCGAGCGGCGGACGGGUGAGGAAUGCGUCGGAAUCUGCCUCUUUGUGGGGGAUAACGUAGGGAAACUUACGCUAAUACCGCAUACGACCUACGGGUGAAAGCCGGGGACCUUCGGGCCUGGCGCAGGGAGAUGAGCCGACGCCGGAUUAGCUAGUUGGCGGGGUAAAGGCCCACCAAGGCGACGAUCCGUAGCUGGUCUGAGAGGAUGAUCAGCCACACUGGAACUGAGACACGGUCCAGACUCCUACGGGAGGCAGCAGUGGGGAAUAUUGGACAAUGGGCGCAAGCCUGAUCCAGCCAUGCCGCGUGAGUGAAGAAGGCCUUCGGGUUGUAAAGCUCUUUUGUUGGGGAAGAAAAGCAUUCGGUUAAUACCCGGGUGUUCUGACGGUACCCAAAGAAUAAGCACCGGCUAACUUCGUGCCAGCAGCCGCGGUAAU
rnacentral:rRNA from 1 species